AUGCUGACUCAGUGGCGCUCCUCAAUGCAGGACGUAAUAGUGGGGAGGGACGCACACUCUGUAAACAGGAAUAGGUGCAACAAGCUAGUUAGUCACAUAAAUGUACGUUCAGCCUGUUUAUUAUUUCAGUCAGAUUUUACGAAGUCAGCAUGGCUUAACAUAGUUUCUUUCGUUUUUGACCUCGACAUUUUUGCUGGAUAGAUACUGUCAUAGCUAACAUGCUGGCGCUGCUAGCUAGCUAAUGCUAACGUCGCUCAUAUCUGGAUGCAUCACUCUAUUUCCGGAGAGAGCAGCAUACUGGUGGUGUCUUACAGAGGAGUGCCCGUUUUGAUUGAAGAUGAGUGUGACGUAGACCCCAGAAGUCUGCAAACUACAGGGGCCCUCCAUUCCCAACCCUGAAGCCCCCUGUCCCCAGCAGGAAAGACCAGGAAAAUGUGUUGGCUUAACUUCCUAUGGAGAAAAUAUCUGCCAACCUGCUCGGUGGGUGACAGGUAACUGUCUUUCCACCAAGCUGUUCACUUCCUGGAGUGGCACGCUGGAACUUCCAGAGGCUUGUAGACCUGAAGCAGUGUGAUGUGGUCCAGCUCAACCACAGUCUUCACAGCUGUAGUCGUCUGCCCCUGCAUCUGCUACCCCGGCCACGACAGGUGAUACAGAUCUGCCACCCCCCAGUUCAGCUGCAGUCACAGCAGUCCUCUGCUGUGGUAUUUAAUUUACCGGCUGCGCCAGUUCCUACUACACUGGCCGUGAAGGGAGAAACUUUUGAGGAUUCCGAGAUGGAUGCAGGUAAUUCAGAAUUAUAUUACAUAUGCUCACUCACACCAACAGAUGUACACACAGUCAUGUUGUUGAGCUGUUUACUUACUGUCACUUUGCAUCUCCACCACUGCCAGACAGCCUCACCCAGAAGUGCAUACACUGGGUCUAUCAAGACUGACAAGCAGAGAUGGGUGGCUGACAAGGAAAAAUAAAGCAACAUGCCCUCACACACAUUAUCCACAUUGUAAAUAAGUUGUAAUUGUUUAUUUAAUCUUUGCUCCAUUUUAUUUUAGGAUUGGCGAUAUCUACUCCUACAUGUCCAUUCUCAAUAUCUACAUAAUUACUCUAAAUAUCUAUCAAAUCAGUGUAAUUGACAAUAUUGUAAAAGACUUAAUGUGUGGCUUAAUGUGUACAGUUAGAGGAAAUUCUGUGUGCUUUUUUCUGAAUUGAAAAACAUGUCUCUCUCACACACACACAUUGUGUCUAAUUUAAAUAAAUUGUAAUAACCUGUUUAUUUCAUGUAUGCUCCAUUUUAUUUGAGGAAAAUAUCCACAAAAAAGUACAUUCACUAUUAAAGCAAUGUCUUUGGUUUGUUGGAUAUUUCUCUGAAUACAAUGUGUGACCAGAAGGAAGUUGGCAGACCUGCAACCCUUGGACUGUGUAGGUUUUGUCAUCUGGACCUGAAAAAUAAAGGGAUGUAAAGUGCUUCAAACUCUGACUAAAGACACGAGGUGGGAAGGAGAAAAUCCCAUCUCAGACAAUCAUUGGUGCAUCUGACAAUCUGCUUUGAAAACAGCUCAUACAAGCCAGAACAACUAAGAAGGACAUUGUCGACCCCUUCCCCAUAGAAGGAUUUAUUGGUUUCAACAAAGACGACAGACGACGGACAAAGACAUCCACACGUUGAAAUAUGGUCUCAACUCUCUUGGGCUGCUCGAGGCAUUGGGGAACCAUCCGGACAGCUUCCGAGCACUCCAUAAAGCCUCCCACUGCCAGGGACCUGUGGGACCUGCUUAAAGUAACCUAUUCCAUACCUGGCGGCAACCGGCCAUGUUUGGAGAACGACACCAUCUGCCACAGGUUCAACUGGCUGGCUGAGGUGCAAGGUAAAAUAGUAAAUUGUUCCAGUUUAUCGGUAACUGUAUAUUAUUCAAUUUUGUGAUUGAAAUGUUUUGCUGUGUACUCAGAUGGAGAAUGUCCUCCUCUAACAGUGGCAAUGGUGUUGGAGUUUGCUACUGGGGCAACCCCUUGGGUUUGAGGACACCCCGACCAUCGAAUUCCUCCACACAGCGCGAGGGCGUCUCGCCAGGCAGCAGAAUAAAAAGUACCCAAAGGCAAACGUGUGCUGUGACACUAAGGCUCCCUCUUCAUAGCACCUACAAUGCCUUUAGGGAAUUCAUGACCUCCGGUAUUGUGAAUUCCCCACAUUUUGGUGUUGCAUAAAAACAUUUUUACGAUACAAUUGUAUCUUGUAGCACUAAACUACAGUAGCAAUUGAGUGUUUGAAAAUGUAACUGCACAUCAAGAUUUAAGCAUUUAUCUACUUACAUCUGUAUUGUUUGUACAGUGCAUUCGGAAUGUAUUCAGACCCCUUGACUUUUUCCACAUUUCAUUAUGCUACAGCCUUAUCCAGAAAUGGAUACAAUCAUUUUUUACCCUCAUCAAUAUACACAUAAUACCACAUAAUGACAAAGCAAAAACAGGUUGACAUUUUUGCAAAUGUAUAAAAAAAGGAAAUGACAUUUAUUACCCUUUACUCAGUACUUUGCU